CCUACGGGUGGCAGCAGUGGGGAAUAUUGCACAAUGGGGGAAACCCUGAUGCAGCGACGCCGCGUGAGUGAAGAAGUAUCUCGGUACGUAAAGCUCUAUCAGCAGGGAAGAUAAUGACGGUACCUGACCAAGAAGCCCCGGCUAACUACGUGCCAGCAGCCGCGGUAAUACGUAGGGGGCAAGCGUUAUCCGGAUUUACUGGGUGUAAAGGGAGCGUAGACGGCAGCACAAGUCUGGAGUGAAAUCCCGGGGCUUAACCCCGGAACUGCUUUGGAAACUGUGCGGCUGGAGUGCAGGAGGGGUAAGCGGAAUUCCUAGUGUAGCGGUGAAAUGCGUAGAUAUUAGGAGGAACACCGGUGGCGAAGGCGGCUUACUGGACUGUAACUGACGUUGAGGCUCGAAAGCGUGGGGAGCAAACAGGAUUAGAUACCCUUGUAGUC
rnacentral:rRNA from 1 species